rnacentral:rRNA from 1 species
AGAGUUUGAUCCUGGCUCAGGACGAACGCUGGCGGCGUGCCUAAUACAUGCAAGUCGAGCGAGCUUGCCUAGAUGAUUUUAGUGCUUGCACUAAAUGAAACUAGAUACAAGCGAGCGGCGGACGGGUGAGUAACACGUGGGUAACCUGCCCAAGAGACUGGGAUAACACCUGGAAACAGAUGCUAAUACCGGAUAACAACACUAGACGCAUGUCUAGAGUUUGAAAGAUGGUUCUGCUAUCACUCUUGGAUGGACCUGCGGUGCAUUAGCUAGUUGGUAAGGUAACGGCUUACCAAGGCAAUGAUGCAUAGCCGAGUUGAGAGACUGAUCGGCCACAUUGGGACUGAGACACGGCCCAAACUCCUACGGGAGGCAGCAGUAGGGAAUCUUCCACAAUGGACGAAAGUCUGAUGGAGCAACGCCGCGUGAGUGAAGAAGGGUUUCGGCUCGUAAAGCUCUGUUGGUAGUGAAGAAAGAUAGAGGUAGUAACUGGCCUUUAUUUGACGGUAAUUACUUAGAAAGUCACGGCUAACUACGUGCCAGCAGCCGCGGUAAUACGUAGGUGGCAAGCGUUGUCCGGAUUUAUUGGGCGUAAAGCGAGUGCAGGCGGUUCAAUAAGUCUGAUGUGAAAGCCUUCGGCUCAACCGGAGAAUUGCAUCAGAAACUGUUGAACUUGAGUGCAGAAGAGGAGAGUGGAACUCCAUGUGUAGCGGUGGAAUGCGUAGAUAUAUGGAAGAACACCAGUGGCGAAGGCGGCUCUCUGGUCUGCAACUGACGCUGAGGCUCGAAAGCAUGGGUAGCGAACAGGAUUAGAUACCCUGGUAGUCCAUGCCGUAAACGAUGAGUGCUAAGUGUUGGGGAGGGUUCCGCCCU